rnacentral:rRNA from 1 species
GACCCGUCUUGAAACACGGACCAAGGAGCCCAACAAAUGCGCGAGUCGCACGGUCUUGAAUAGGCCUGUGAGGCGAAAUUAACAUAACGGUGUGAUCAUGUGUAUCGCUUCGCAAGAGGUGCAUACUAUGCGCAACACCAACCUGCUUUAUGUACUUAUUGUAUUAAAGCGGCGUUCGAGCGUAUUUGUUGGUACCCGAAAGAUGGUGAACUAUACUUGGGCAGGACGAAGCCAGAGGAAACUCUGGUGGAGGUCCGUAGCGGUUCUGACGUGCAAAUCGAUCGUCAGACCUGAGUAUAGGGGCGAAAGACUAAUCGAACCAUCUAGUAGCUGGUUUCCUCCGAAGUUUCCCUCAGGAUAGCUGGUACCUUUAAAUGUCUGUAGCAUCCGGUAAAGCGAAUGAUUAGAGGUCUUGGGAGCGAAACGUUCUCAACCUAUUCUCAAACUUUAAAUGGGUGCGAAGCAUGACUUUCUUAAAUGUGAAGUCUUGCUUUUGUAAGACAAGUACCAAGUGGGCCAUUUUUGGUAAGCAGAACUGGCGCUGCGGGAUGAACCGAACGAAGAGUUAAGGUACCCAAUGCCGACGCUCAUGAGACCCCAUGAAAGGUGUUGGUUGCUAUAGACAGCAGGACGGUGGCCAUGGAAGUUGGAAUCCGCUAAGGAGUGUGU